GCCGGCAGGGUGCGGCCCGCUGCAUCCCCUACCCAAUCGGUCCCGCCGCCCUUUUCCCGCCCACAUCCCGCCGAGGUAGAGCAAGGAAGCGCCGUCGCCACUCGCCAUCUCCCCGUCGAGGCCGGCCGCGUUAGAGCAAGGUGUCCGAGGCGGUUCAAGGGAGCUCGAGCCCCACUGCUGGCGGCACCAGAUGGGGGCAUGCCCGCUGCUGGAUUGCCCUGAUUGCGCCUCCACCACGCACCGCCCGCCACGCCACCUUCCUGCCACGCCUCCACCACGGCCGUCUUGUGCUUCCCAGCAACCAUGGCCAGGCUGCCGAUAUGUCAAGCUGCUACCCAGUGUCCAUAUCUGCCAGGCAACAAUUCAACAGUUAAUAUAACCUUGUUGGAUUUCCAAUUUGGCGAUGUCAGUUAACCAUGACAAAUUGGUUAACUAGUUUGAUCACUGGCAUCAUAGUAAAUGAAUGUUGUGAAGAGGCGAACAAUGGCUGAGACGGCGCCAAAUGAAGUCUUUCUCAGUUUGGAACAAACUGAUCAAACUGAAAUGGUAGUCAGUUUGGCUUCUCCAACCUGACAGGGAACCAUAUUGCUUCUCCAACCUGAUAGGGAACCAUGAUGGCGAACAUGGAUACAUCGACUGCAAUUUGGAACUCAAGCAUUUUUGGGAUGUAGAAAAGGGAAAACUCGACCGUGCUGUGACUUAUGGGAGCUCAAGUUGCAAGAACAGAUCCUGAAGGACUAUGUUGUUAUUGUAGCAGUGCGUGUAGAUGUAUAUAAUGAGUAAGAUUAAGAAACAGUCAAUGUAACAUUUGGGAAGCAUUCUGUUGCUUUUGUUAUUGUAAUAUUUAGAAGCAGUCAAUGUAACAUUUGGGAAGCUGAUGUAUGAGGAUACCUAAUUUAUGUUAAUGUAAUUCAGUUUGAAAAUGCAGUAUGUUAAACCAGUUUGAUAA